UUUUCAUCAGACAAUCUGUGUGAGCACUGCAAAGUACGCUUCUUUAAGGUAAGGAGGUGAUCCAACCGCAGGUUCCCCUACGGUUACCUUGUUACGACUUCACCCCAGUCAUGAAUCACAAAGUGGUAAGCGCCCUCCCGAAGGUUAAGCUACCUACUUCUUUUGCAACCCACUCCCAUGGUGUGACGGGCGGUGUGUACAAGGCCCGGGAACGUAUUCACCGUGGCAUUCUGAUCCACGAUUACUAGCGAUUCCGACUUCAUGGAGUCGAGUUGCAGACUCCAAUCCGGACUACGACGCACUUUAUGAGGUCCGCUUGCUCUCGCGAGGUCGCUUCUCUUUGUAUGCGCCAUUGUAGCACGUGUGUAGCCCUGGUCGUAAGGGCCAUGAUGACUUGACGUCAUCCCCACCUUCCUCCAGUUUAUCACUGGCAGUCUCCUUUGAGUUCCCGGCCGGACCGCUGGCAACAAAGGAUAAGGGUUGCGCUCGUUGCGGGACUUAACCCAACAUUUCACAACACGAGCUGACGACAGCCAUGCAGCACCUGUCUCACGGUUCCCGAAGGCACAUUCUCAUCUCUGAAAACUUCCGUGGAUGUCAAGACCAGGUAAGGUUCUUCGCGUUGCAUCGAAUUAAACCACAUGCUCCACCGCUUGUGCGGGCCCCCGUCAAUUCAUUUGAGUUUUAACCUUGCGGCCGUACUCCCCAGGCGGUCUACUUAACGCGUUAGCUCCGGAAGCCACGCCUCAAGGGCACAACCUCCAAGUAGACAUCGUUUACGGCGUGGACUACCAGGGUAUCUAAUCCUGUUUGCUCCCCACGCUUUCGCACCUGAGCGUCAGUCUUUGUCCAGGGGGCCGCCUUCGCCACCGGUAUUCCUCCAGAUCUCUACGCAUUUCACCGCUACACCUGGAAUUCUACCCCCCUCUACAAGACUCAAGCCUGCCAGUUUCGAAUGCAGUUCCCAGGUUGAGCCCGGGGAUUUCACAUCCGACUUGACAGACCGCCUGCGUGCGCUUUACGCCCAGUAAUUCCGAUUAACGCUUGCACCCUCCGUAUUACCGCGGCUGCUGGCACGGAGUUAGCCGGUGCUUCUUCUGCGGGUAACGUCAAUUGCUGCGGUUAUUAACCACAACACCUUCCUCCCCGCUGAAAGUACUUUACAACCCGAAGGCCUUCUUCAUACACGCGGCAUGGCUGCAUCAGGCUUGCGCCCAUUGUGCAAUAUUCCCCACUGCUGCCUCCCGUAGGAGUCUGGACCGUGUCUCAGUUCCAGUGUGGCUGGUCAUCCUCUCAGACCAGCUAGGGAUCGUCGCCUUGGUGAGCCGUUACCUCACCAACAAGCUAAUCCCAUCUGGGCACAUCUGAUGGCAAGAGGCCCGAAGGUCCCCCUCUUUGGUCUUGCGACGUUAUGCGGUAUUAGCCACCGUUUCCAGUAGUUAUCCCCCUCCAUCAGGCAGUUUCCCAGACAUUACUCACCCGUCCGCCACUCGUCAGCAAAGCAGCAAGCUGCUUCCUGUUACCGUUCGACUUGCAUGUGUUAGGCCUGCCGCCAGCGUUCAAUCUGAGCCAUGAUCAAACUCUUCAAUUUAAAAGUUUGAUGCUCAAUGAAUUAAACUUCGUAAUGAAUUACGUGUUCACUCUUGAGACUUGGUAUUCAUUUUUCGUC
rnacentral:rRNA from 1 species